rnacentral:lncRNA from 1 species
AACUUGAUUGAUUUAUCCCUGUAUAUAAGUAUGAGAAAGAAACAGUGACUGGAAAAGAAUGUUCACAUUGCACCAGGAUGGCUCUGAAAUGGACAUCAGUUCUUCUGCUGAUACAACUCAGUUGUUACUUUAGCUCUGGGAGUUGUGGAAAGGUGCUGGUGUGGGCCGCAGAGUACAGCCCUUGGAUGAAUAUGAAGACGAUCCUGAAAGAACUUGUUCAGAGAGGUCAUGAGGUGACUGUACUGGCAUCUUCAGCUUCCAUUCUUUUUGAUCCCAAUGACUCAUCCACUCUUAAACUCGAAGUUUAUCCUACAUCUUUAACUAAAACUGAGUUGGAGAAUAUCACGAUGCAACUGAUUAAGAGAUGGCCUUACAUUCCAAAAGAUACAUUUUGGUUAUCUUUUUCACAAGAACAAGAAAUCAUGUGGGCAUAUAAUAACAUAAUUAGAAACUUCUGUAAAGAUUUAGUUUCAAAUAAGAAACUUAUGAAAAAACUACAAGAGUCAAGAUUUGAUGUCGUUUUUGCAGAUCCUUCUUUUCCCUGUGGUGAGCUGCUGGCUGAGCUAUUUAACAUACCCUUUGUGUACAGUCACAGCUUCACUCCUGGCUACUCAUUUGAAAGGCAUAGUGGAGGAUUUAUUUUCCCUCCUUCCUACGUACCUGUUGUUAUGUCAAAAUUAAGUGAUCAAAUGACUUUCAUGGAGAGGGUAAAAAAUAUGCUCUAUGUGCUUUAUUUUGACUUUUGGUACCAAAUAUUUGAUAUGAAGAAGUGGGAUCACUUUUACAGUGAAGUUUUAGGAAGACCCACUACCUUAUCUGAGACAAUGAGGAAAGCUGACAUAUGGCUUAUGCGAAACUCCUGGAAUUUUAAAUUUCCUCAUCCAUUCUUACCAAACGUUGAUUUUGUUGGAGGACUCCACUGCAAACCUGCCAAACCCCUACCUAAGGU